GGUGAAUGCUGGCGGCGUGCUUAACACAUGCAAGUCGAGCGGUAACAGGUCUAGUUUACUAGAUGCUGACGAGCGGCGGACGGCUGAGUAACGCGUGGGAACAUGCCCCAAAGUGAGGAAUAACUGCCCGAAAGGGUAGCUAAUGCCGCAUAUGAUCUUCGGAUUAAAGGAUUUAUCCGCUUUGGGAGUGGCCUGCGUAUGAUUAGGUAGUUGGUAGGGUAAUGGCCUACCAAGCCGACGAUCAUUAGCUGGUCUGAGAGGAUGACCAGCCAGACUGGAACUGAGACACGGUCCAGACUCCUACGGGAGGCAGCAGUGAGGAAUCUUCCACAAUGGGCGAAAGCCUGAUGGAGCAACGCCGCGUGAAGGAUGAAGGCCCUCGGGUUGUAAACUUCUUUUAUAAGUGAAGAAUAUGACGGUAACUUAUGAAUAAGCACCGGCUAACUACGUGCCAGCCGCCGCAGUAA
rnacentral:rRNA from 1 species